rnacentral:lncRNA from 1 species
AUGGGGUGCCCCGGGACGCCUUUGCCUUCCCGCACCUGCCCGGUUUGGAGCGUGAAGAACCACCCCACGGCUCAGCGGGGAUCUCUCGGCGCCCCUGGGCGCCCCCCCCAGCGCCCCAUCACCGCCCGGGGAACGCGCAGGUGCCACCGCAGCCCCUCCCGCGCCAGGCCUCCGCCGCGAUCCCGCGCCCGCCUCCCUGCGCCCCGGAGGCAGCUUCAGCCCAUCCCUAAGGGGCACGGAUUGUUCUUUCCGGGCGAGACAGAGCAGGGACAGGUGCUGGCCAAACCGGGGGAGGCGGGCGCGCGGCUCCAGGGCGCGCCCCCUGCGCGGGGAUGGGGGAUGGGGGGUGGGGGGUGGGUGCAGGCUCCCCGGACCCCACGCCGCGCGCGAGGCCAAUUCCGUCUCUUAAAAGGACGACUCAGGACCCCGAGGUUGGUAAAAGUCAGAAGGGAACUCCUUUCUCACGGUUGCCCCAAGACUCCUCCUUGCAGUGUCAAGUCGCUUGGAAAGUGGUUUGCUAAGAAAUCCUCUCCUGAUCGUGGGCGCUCUGACGAGUGGGCAGCGCGCAUCCCCAGCCGAAACGGGUGCAGAACCAGCUGAAACUGGUGCAGAAAGCCAGGUGCUGGCUGUGCGCUGACGUCCGUGUGGCUAUCUGGGCUAACUUUGCUCGCCAAAGCCCAGUUUACAAAGGAGAUUGCCUUGGGAUGAAAAAGUAAUCCUUGUAAAAUGCUGAGAGCAGCACCUGGCGACAAGCAACAACUCAAUAAAGAUUAAUUAUUAUUGCUAAUAAUAUAUUAGUUCAUGUUUUUCUACCAAAAAAAACUUUUAUUGUUUGUGAUUCCAUUUAGACAAUAUUCUUAUACCUUGUGAACACCUAAGUGUCUUUUAUUUCAUGCAUAUCAGAACCUAGGACUGUGCUGGGCUCAAGUUUGUGGUUUAGACUGAAUUAUUUACUCGUUGGGUUGCCCUGCAGAGAUAAUAGAAAUAAAAGGGCGGUGGUGAAAUAAGAGACACAUGAAAUUGGAGUCUCCUUUAUCCUUCACUUUAUCACUGUCUGCUUCUUCAUAACAUCCCCGGAUUUGGGGGACUGUCUGUUGUAAUUCCUCUGCUGGAACUGGUUCCAGCUGAGCCUCAGUAGAGCCAGUGACAACAGUCACCAAACAUAGUUCAAGCUCAACCAAUUUUGACCCUGUCUGGGCUCCCACAGGGCUGAACAUGAUAAAGAAGACACAGAAGGGUACAGAUUCAAGCCAUACGAGCAGAUUUACUUGAGAACUCUAUAUUCUACAAGCGCCUCUCAACAUAACACUAUACCAAUAAUAAUAAUAGCAAAAAUAACAACAACCAACAUUUGCUGAGCACGUAUUAUGGACUAGACUAACCACUUUCCUAUCACAUUUAAUCCAUAUAGCAAACAAUGCAUUCUGUUACUUUCAUUUUAUUCAGUGAAAAAACAGAGAAAAGUCACUGGGAGCCAACUUAAGCAAAGUAAUACCACCAGUAAAAUGUUGAGAUUCAAACCCAAGUUCGUAGCUCUCCAAAGCUCAUCCAGGUAAAGCAAUCAAGCUUACAAGGGCCUCUGGCCACACAGCCCAGCUCUAAAGCACAAACACCAUAGUACUGGUUCUCUGCAGGGCAGAGUGCAAUGUACCUCCCAUGUCCCUUGUCUCUGUCCAUCUCACAACACGGUACGUCAGCCCAGCAUCUCAUCUUCUACAAAAGACACCAAAGAUUUUCUUUUUCACCAUCCCUGGUUACUGGUGUACUUAAAAUUUCUUGAAGUGUGACCGUCCCUGGUUCGUAACUUACGCCAGAGAGACCUGCUCCCAUUUCCUUUUGCUGGUGCACAAGCAUUGAAGCUACAAGUCACGAAGGCAAAGCAUUUAUUGAUUAGAUUCUCCUCAAUAGUCAACCUCUGCCAAGAUUAGAUUUGGACUUUAAUAAAAAUGACCACUCCGCUUCCUUUCCUUGCUCCUCCUCCUCUAAUGUAUAACUAGUAGAAAGCUGGAGAAAGGCAGCGGCUGGCCAGCUGCAUGUGCCACACUCAUCACAGGACGUGGAGUUAAGAG